rnacentral:pre_miRNA from 1 species
AGUGUAAUUGUUGGUUUAUAAGGUUAGGUUUAACUUUUUGAGAAAUUGCCAAACUGUUUUCCAUAGCAGCUGCACUAUUUUACAUUUCCACCAGCAAU